UACGUAGGGGCAAGCGUUGUCCGGAAUUAUUGGCGUAAAGAGCGUGUAGGCGGUCCGGUAAGUCGGCCUGUGAAAGUCCAGGCUCAACCCUGGGAUGCCGGUCGAUACUGCCGGACUAGAGUUCGGAAGAGCGAGUGGAAUCCCGGUGUAGCGGUGAAAUGCGCAGAUAUCGGGAGGAACACCUAUGGGCGAAGGCAGCGUCGCUGGGGACGUUACUGACG
rnacentral:rRNA from 1 species